rnacentral:rRNA from 1 species
UGAAGAGGGAAAAGCUCAAAUUUAAAAUCUGGCAGCAUUUUGUUGUCCGAGUUGUAACCUAGAGAAGUGUAACCUGUGCUGGACCGUGUAUAAGUUUCCUGGAAUGGAGCAUCACAGAGGGUGAGAAUCCCGUCUUUGACAUGGACUACCAGUGCAUUGUGGUUGUGCUCUCAACGAGUCGAGUUGUUUGGGAAUGCAGCUCUAAAUGGGUGGUAAAUUCCAUCUAAAGCUAAAUAUUGGCGAGAGACCGAUAGCGAACAAGUACCGUGAGGGAAAGAUGAAAAGAACUUUGGAAAGAGAGUUAAACAGUAUGUGAAAUUGUUGAAAGGGAAACGUUUGAAGUCAGUCGCGUUAGCUGGGGAUCAGCCUGACAUUGUUGGGUGCACUUCCUGGUUGACGGGCCAACAUCAGUUUUGACUGCCAGAAAAAGGCCGAGGGAAUGUGGCACCUUUGGGUGUGUUAUAGCCUUUGGUCAUAUAUGGUGGUUGGGACUGAGGAAUGCAGUGUGCCGAAAGGCCGGGUUUCGACCACGUUCACACUGAGGAUGUUGGCAUAAUGGCUUUAAGCGACCCGUCUUGAAACACGGACCAAGGAGUCUAACAUGCAUGCGAGUGUUUGGGUGGAAAACCCUUACGCGUAAUGAAAGUGAAAGUUGAGAUCCCUGUCAUGGGGAGCAUCGACGCCCGGACCAGAACUUUUGGGACGGAUCUGCGGUAGAGCACGUAUGUUGGGACCCGAAAGAUGGUGAACUAUGCCUGAAUAGGGUGAAGCCAGAGGAAACUCU